rnacentral:rRNA from 1 species
AAUAGGGACCUAACUGCCUCAAAGGCACCAAAUCCCAUCAGAAUGUGGAAGCUAAGCAAGGCCAGCACUGAUUAAUACAUGGAUAGGGGUCCACCAAUGAACACUAGGUGCUGUAG